rnacentral:rRNA from 1 species
ACCUACGGCCCUACCACCCUGAGAAUGCCUGAACCCGUCUGAUCUCGGAAGCUAGGCAUGGUCAGGCUCAGUUAGUAGUUGGAUGGGAGACCAUCUGGGAAUACCGGGUGCUGUGGACA